rnacentral:rRNA from 1 species
UACGUAGGGGGCAAGCGUUGUCCGGAAUCAUUGGGCGUAAAGAGCGUGUAGGCGGCCCGAUAAGUCCGCUGUGAAAGUCCAGGGCUCAACCCUGGGAUGCCGGUGGAUACUGUCGGGCUCGAGUCCGGAAGAGGAGAGUGGAAUUCCUGGUGUAGCGGUGAAAUGCGCAGAUAUCAGGAGGAACACCAAUGGCGAAGGCAGCUCGCUGGGACGUGACUGACGCUGAGACGCGAAAGCGUGGGGAGCAAACAGG